AGUCACUGACAUUAGAUACCCCUGUAGUCCAGGGUGUAAACGCUGCAGACUUGGUGUUGGAAGCCCUUUGGGGCAUUCAGUGCCGGAGAGAAGUUGUUAAGUCUGCUACUUGGGAGUACGUCCGCAAGGAUGAAACUUAAAGGAAUUGGCGGGGGAGCACCGCAACGGGAGGAGCGUGCGGUUUAAUUGGAUUCAACACCGUAAACUCACCAGGGAAGACUGUUACAUGAAGGCCGAGAUGAAGACUCUGCUAGAUUUUCAG
rnacentral:rRNA from 1 species